GGGGCGAUAGAGUUAAAUUGAAAUGACACUGACAUUAAACCGGAUGCGGCCGAAACUUGGCCAAAUCUCGCGGUUCGUUUGAAUAGCUAUUUGACGUGGCGUCUUGCGUUGGUCUGGCGGUAACAAACAUCAAAUGUCUGACAUGAAAUUGGAUGUGUUAUUGUUCAGGUGUCCUCAUAAGGCAAGAGUCGUGAGUCAUUCUCUCUCUGCUGACCAGAGGCCAUACUGAUGGGCUGAUGAUAAAGUCUGGAGGUGUCUGGAGAGGAGAGAUAAGUGAAGCCGCCAAUGUCCAAAUAUGGCGCUGACAUCUUGGAGCCUGAGUCUGCAUAGUAGUGAGCGUGAAGUUGAGCUGUGGUAUCAAGGCCCCACCCACACUCCCGCAGAAUCGAGAAAUUUAUUUUGAUGGGGUGAUCUGGCUCCCGUAUGCCAGGCCGAGACCUGAGAGUGUGAGGGAAAGAAAAAAGGGAUGGAAAGGCGAUACGAGGACGUCACAUUGUGAAUGACUGCGAAAAAGUUGCGGUCCAACAGCAGACUGAAGACAGCAGUGCACGGUCAGCUUAAGUUUUGUGAUUUUAAAUAUAUUUUUACGUUAUGGCGUGAAGAAAAUGUAGUUUAAUGCAGAAGUUUUAUUGAUUACAUCAGAAGUCAGACGUUGUUAGAGAUUGUGGGUAUGAAAGUGUCACUGAAGUCAUGAGUUUAAGCCAGAACACUGUUAUUUCUGAUGUGAUUCCGAAUGUAAGCACUUUUUGAGAGUUUUGCUGUGUUUUUCAAGUCAUUUGCAGAUUGUAGAUCAUGAGGUUAUUUUUUACUUUUGAGUUGCUUGAGGACACUUAUUAAAGGGAUAGUUU